rnacentral:rRNA from 1 species
GAUGAACGCUGGCGGCGUGCCUAAUACAUGCAAGUCGAGCGAACAGACGAGGAGCUUGCUCCUCUGACGUUAGCGGCGGACGGGUGAAUAACACGUGGAUAACCUACCUAUAAGUCUGGGAUAACUUCGGGAAACCGGAGCUAAUACUGGAUAAUAUAUUGAACCGCAUGGUUCAAUAGUGAAAGACGGUUUUGCUGUCACUUAUAGAUGGAUCCGCGCCGCAUUAGCUAGUUGGUAAGGUACCGGCUUACCAAGGCAACGAUGCGUAGCCGACCUGAGAGGGUGAUCGGCCACACUGGAACUGAGACACGGUCCAGACUCCCACGGGAGGCAGCAGUAGGGAAUCUUGCACAAUGGGCGAAAGCCUGACGGAGCAACGCCGCGUGAGUGAUGAAGGUCUUCGGAUCGUAAAACUCUGUUAUUAGGGAAGAACAAAUGUGUAAGUAACUAUGCACGUCUUGACGGUACCUAAUCAAAAAGCCACGGCUAACUACGUG